rnacentral:rRNA from 1 species
GACGAACGCUGGCGGCGUGCCUAACACAUGCAAGUCGAGCGGAGAUGAUGUGAGGAAGUUUUCGGAUGGAAUCACAUUAUUUUAGCGGCGGACGGGUGAGUAACGCGUGAGCGACCAACCUUGCACAGGGGGAUAACGGACCGAAAGGUUCACUAAUACCGCAUGAGACCACGGUGUUGCAUGACAAAGGGGUCAAAGGAGGAAUCCGGUGCAAGACGGGCUCGCGUCCGAUUAGGUAGUUGGAGGGGUAAGGGCCCACCAAGCCUAUGAUCGGUAGCCGACCUUAGAGGGUGAUCGGCCACAUUGGAACUGGGAUACGGUCCAAACUCCUACGGGGGGCAUCAGUGGGUAAUAUUGGGCAAUGGGGGAAACCCUGACCCAGCAACGCCGCGUGAAGGAAGAAGGUUUUCGGAUUGUAAACUUCUGUCCUUGGUGAAGAGAAGAAGACGGUAGCCAAGGAGGAAGCCCCGGCUAACUACGUGCCAGCCGCCGCAGUAA